AGAGCCUCCUGCUCAAAUCUUGCCAUCUUUGAGAGCUGAUCAACUGCCUCAACCAAGUGGUCGAGCCGGGCCACAAACUCUAUGAGCAGUGAGGAUUCCUCCUGCAGCGGUGGGGAUGGAAGGUCAGAGUUGUUGCGCUCGAGAAGCUUGUUGUCAAGAUCACCCAUGUGGCUUGACAGAUUAGAGAAGGUCGAUGACAGUGCAUGAGAGAGCCUCGACUGUGCCUUAGAUGAAGUAUCUGGAGGGUCGUGAUGAGAUGUGAGGAUGUACGAGUGCAUAUCAAGUGCGCGUUGGAGUGCUUCUGCAGAGCUAUGGACCUUUUUGAGGAGGCAUGGUUUGAGGCUUCGAUGCAUGUUAGAUAUGUCUGUUCCCAGACAACGAACUAGCUCUGCCGCCUCUCUUGCUGCAUCUUCAAUCUCUUUCUGGAAUGCGAUUCUCAGGCUAUAUGGUGCCUGGACACAAAUAUAUCUAUCAUGAAACAGCUCAUAGGAAAUUCGCUCGCAUUCUGACCCUGGUUACAAAUAUGAUUCUGUGGAGAAUAAUCAGCAAGAACACCAUGAAGAGCCAUGACCUCAUAUGUACAAUAUCUGAGGACUGCACCCACCUUCACAUAUUCCGACCAUGGAUAAAAGAUGUGGAUGAACCUACCAUGGGGCGGCUCCCAUUUCGCCGAACUUGCCUGAAAAAUAAAUAAAUAAAGACAAACAAAUGAACACAUAUCAUCUUCCUGUGCUGAAUGACUCUGGAAUUUGUACCAAUCCUCAUAAAGAUGGUGGUGAGUACCAGUGAUUCUAUUUUUGCUGAGGUGUUUAAUGUGGAUCGACAUUUUCGAUAUGCAGGUUCAUCAGGAAAGUCAUCCAUCACAGUCUUUGUAAACUCGGGAUGUUGGCAUCCGUCAUCUUUCAGAUACUUCCCCACACACUCUGAAAAUCACUAGUUCCCCAGCCCAUAUAGGAAAGAUGAGCACAUUGACUGCAACUGUAACUAUUGCUCCAAUGGCAAUCGAGUAGAGACGGUCCAUGGCCGUCAUGAUGGGAUUCCCCAUGCGAUAUCCAGAAACUAUGAUCAAACAGUAGGUAAAAAGUAUGACUCGAAAUCCGUACUCAUAUGGAACUAAAGAUGGCCACAGCUUCAUAAACGAUGUCACAGUUCCUGUGUCAUUCAACAAGGUGGCUUAAUAGUUAGUAGGCAGAAAACCGAGGUUCAGCAGUUUGUCCUGCUUUCAAGGCUAACUCUGCUAUGACGAUGGCCAAGGCUCCAGCGAGAAGGCUGCCUAGUGCACGGUUGAAUCCUCUAUUAAAAGUUGCACCUUCACACAUAAUGCCAUUUUGCAUGCACGUACCAACGGUGUACUCAAACAUGAUGGCAACGGUGAGGAUAGACCAGAUAAUGCUGGCACCAAAAACUUGGUAAGGCGCCCGGCAUAGUAUCAGAAGAGAUACAAGAAGAACUGCAAGCCCCACUUUAAGCGAAAACGUCACUCUGAGGCAUGUUGAUCUCAAAGCUACCGUUAGCCCCAUUCAUUCUCCAACCAAAUGUUUGUUGGAAAUCAGGGACGACGAGUUGCAGUGAAAAUAUCUAGAACUAGGCCUAUUGAUGGCAAGUUGCUGUAAUCAUAGAAAUUGGAAUAUGUUUCAUUCCCUCAACAAUGUCCAAGCAUUUGAAGCUCUCCCCAUACUUCCACAAACCAUUUGUGUGUUAAUCCUAUCCUCACAAUAAUUCCACAUUCGAACCUAUUCUUACGUGUUAUCCGGUUUGUGAGAGAUGCUAUGAUUAGAUCUAUUCCUGGAAAUAAUUGAAUAUGAGCACAUAUUCACUAAAAGAAAUGAUAAUGAAGGGUUGGUGAAGAGUAUGGAGAUAUGAUUUUGACUACAGAUAGGGGAUGAAUGAUGCAUGCUUGUUGUUCUGUUAUAGACCUGAAGCAUUUGGUAUAUAUUUGAUGAAUUUGUUUUUGAAUUGAACACAUGCUGUUGGUUGUAAUAAUUGAAGCAUCAGAUACAUAUGAUGAGGUAUCUUCUUGAUUUUGGGCUGACUUACCACACAACACAACGCAACACAACACAACAGAACAUAUUCUGAUGUUUCAGACUAUACCGAACUCCAAAGCAGCAUCAAGAAACCAAAAACACACUGUAUGCUAAAGUGGGAGUGUGAUGGUGAUAUAUGAUCUCAACUCCGGCUUACUGUCAGGGCAAAGAAACGGGCUUGUUACGCUGUCUUGUUUGUGCGUUGAAUGUGCAUCAACCGCAGCUUCAUGCAUCAGCAGCUCUUCAGCAAUUGGUUCCAUUGUGAUGAUGCAUGAGGACAACUUGGGAUCUUGAAAGUACCAUAACAACCUAGGAAUAUACCAUGUGUAUUCCUCACUAUUUAUCACAUAUAUUCAUGCAUGUGUUACAAAUAAUAUUCCAGCCAACAUGUAAUUCAUUUUGCACUAGU